UGACCGCUGGCGGCGUGCCUACUACAUGCACGUCGAGCGAACGGACGAGAAGCUUGCUUCUCUGAUGUUAGCGGCGGACGGGUGAGUAACACGUGGAUAACCUACCUAUAAGACUGGGAUAACUUCGGGAAACCGGAGCUAAUACCGGAUAAUAUUUUGAACCGCAUGGUUCAAAAGUGAAAGACGGUCUUGCUGUCACUUAUAGAUGGAUCCGCGCUGCAUUAGCUAGUUGGUAAGGUAACGGCUUACCAAGGCAACGAUGCAUAGCCGACCUGAGAGGGUGAUCGGCCACACUGGAACUGAGACACGGUCCAGACUCCUACGGGAGGCAGCAGUAGGGAAUCUUCCGCAAUGGGCGAAAGCCUGACGGAGCAACGCCGCGUGAGUGAUGAAGGUCUUCGGAUCGUAAAACUCUGUUAUUAGGGAAGAACAUAUGUGUAAGUAACUGUGCACAUCUUGACGGUACCUAAUCAGAAAGCCACGGCUAACUACGUG
rnacentral:rRNA from 1 species